UUAACUAUUAUAUAGUACUCAGACGACACUAACAUUCAGAGUUUGGGGGCCUCUAGCAGGCACGAUCCGGCCGAAGCCAGUGCCCGAGGGCAGCCUGCCAAAGCAACAAUAUAUAUUACACAAGGGUGGGCGUUUCUACCCGUGAGGGCAGGGAACACUGUAAUGAUCCUUCCGCAGGUUCACCUACGGAAA
rnacentral:misc_RNA from 1 species